AGCCUUUUGGCUCCCUUGAUGUUAGCGGCAGACGGGUCGAUUAACACGUGGGUAACCUGCCUGUAAGACUGGGAUAACUCCGGGAAACCGGGGCUAAUACCGGAUGGUAGUUUGAACCGCAAGGUUCAACAUAAAAAGUGGCUUUCGGCUACCACUUUAAGAUGGACCCCCGGCGCCUUAUCUAAUUUUUGAGGUUACGGCUCACAAGGCAACGAAGCGUAACCCACCUGAAGAGGUGAUCCGCCAACUGGGAAUAAAAACCGCCCCACUCCU
rnacentral:rRNA from 1 species